rnacentral:rRNA from 1 species
GACAGCAAUAUGAAGGCCAGGCUGAAGACUUUGCCGGAUUAGCUGAGAGGCGGUGCAUGGCCGUCGUCAGUUCGUACUGUGAAGCAUCCUGUUAAGUCAGGCAACGAGCGAGACCCACGCCCACAGUUGCCAGCGUACUCUCUGGAGUGACGGGUACACUGUGGGGACCGCCGCUGCUAAAGCGGAGGAAGGAAUGGGCAACGGUAGGUCAGUAUGCCCCGAAUAUCCCGGGCUACACGCGAGCUACAAUGGUUGGUACAAUGGGUAUCUACCCCGAAAGGGGACGGGAAUCUCCUAAAACCAAUCUUAGUUCGGAUUGAGGGCUGCAACUCGCCCUCAUGAAGCUGGAAUCCGUAGUAAUCGCGUUUCAACAGAACGCGGUGAAUACGUCCCUGCUCCUU